rnacentral:misc_RNA from 1 species
AAGUCGUAACAAGGUUUCCGUAGGUGAACCUGCGGAAGGAUCAUUAGAAAAUCUGGCUGCAAAGCCGCAUCUUUGUGAACCGAACCAUUCAUGUGGCCACUGGGUGCGAGGAACCACGAGUAAUACAACUUUCAACAGUGGAUCUCUCGGCUCUU